CGUUACCACGGUACCCGCUGUCCGAAGGAGUAGUGUUGAAGGAAGUCGGCAAUGCGUAUUCAGAAGCUGAAGUACUGGGCGAACCACUCCUGCCGCUGCGGGUCCGGAGAGGCUACAGGCGAGUCGUCCGUCUCAGGAGGGCUGCACAAAGGGACAGGCCAGAACAACAGCUGUUAUGCCAAACGGCUCGGCCUUGGAGGCUGGCGCCCUCUAGUGGUGCCCUCAGUUUGCAGAAGGCGUUCAGUUAAAACUCUGUGGGUGAAUCUUUAUACGUUUCCCUCAAAUGGUUGCUUAGCAAACACCCUUCAGAUGCUUUUCAACUCCCAACCUGCUGUCAAAUAACCUUUCAUCAGCACAGGCAAGAUGUUUUGUCUGCGACAGACAGAAGCACCGGCUAAGUCUGACUCUGUCAUAUUCUAAUUGCAGUUUUAAACAUGGUGUUUUACUA